rnacentral:rRNA from 1 species
GACGGAGGGGGCGAGCGUUGUCCGGACUCACUGGGCGUAAAGGGUGCGCAGGCGGUUCUGUGCGUCGGCGCUGAAAGUGCCCGGCUCAACCGGGUGAGGCGCGCCGAUACGAUGGAACUUGAGGCUCGGAGAGGGUGGUGGAACUCCUGGUGUAGUGGUGAAAUGCGUAGAUAUUGGGAGGAACACCAGUGGCGAAGGCGGCUACCUGGACCGGUUCUGACGCUGAUGCGCGAAAGCGUGGGUAGCAAACAGG